CCCAAAUUUGUGAUACGAUUCUGAGCGGCGAGAAUGACGAUCGAAGAAGCAAGAGUGAAAUUGAAUGAUUAAGAAUUUCAGAAACAGAAGGAUCAACCGAAGUUGUUGUUAGAACCACAAACAAAGAAGAAGAAUCAAAGGAUAUUGUUGUUCCAGCCAGAAUCGAAAUAGCAGGAAGGAAAUAUUGCUGUGAUAAAUGCUAUCACUCAUACGGACGAGUAACCCAUGUUGCUUUAGAAAGGAGAGUCACCCUGGAACCCAAUGUUGUUAUUUCUUAUGGGAAGGGCGGGGAGGAAAAGCUAUAUUACACUAAUCGCUAUCCAGGGAUCAAUUCGCAUCGCGUCGAAGAUGGAAUGCUAGAUCAUCCCGGACUUGUUAGGAAGUACAACACUGUCUGCAACUUUUGUGGUGAAAUAGUGGGAUGGCACUUUACUGGCAAAAGGGAUGAUAUGCCUAGAGCAAUGUACUGGUGCGACACUUUGAUGGACAGGGAAAAGGUCGUUCUGCUAGAUGAAGAAGAGAAUGAAAUAGCAAGAGACGGUAAUGAUGACUCUGAGAUGCCGAGAAUUAACUACUUGGAGGAAAAGAAGGGAAAGAUGGGGUUUACUUAUUUUUGUUGAAUUUUAAGGUUGGUUUCUGCAAAUGAUUGUCUGAGGGAGAAUAUCUCUUCUUUGUGCUUGGCUGUUGUGUGACUCUAGUUAUAAUUUGGGGAAAGUAAUCGUCAGCUACUUUAUGAUGUUUGUAUUUAAAACAGCUUGAGUUUGGUUCGAACCUCUUUCUAUG